rnacentral:other from 1 species
AUUACUCCGAGGGGGUGUCUAUUUUGUUCCUACAUUAUACAUAAUAGGGAGCCAGACUCUAACGGUUUUGAAGUAGACUUGCCAUAGUAGCAAGAAACGGAGUAAACCGAGGCAGCACCCACCUGCGAGAAAUUGCAGGUAACAAAAUCGCACUUUUUCGGAGUGCUU